rnacentral:lncRNA from 1 species
CAAUAUAUUCAUAAAGUAUAUCAAACACCUAGAAAACGAAACCAAUCAAACACCCUAGAAAAUAGGCAAGUAGCCAACCACUACAAUCCAGCACACAAAAAAUUGUUGACUGCCUACUUCUUAUUGUAGUCAUCAUGCACUUGUAAUCUGACCCAAGUCCUCCCAUCACGUAAUCAACCAAUGUCUUUUCAGAAACAGUCUCUCCUGUGGAAGCUAAAGACUGCACUAAUCCUUUUACUCUCACCAAGUAUUCUUGCAUAGUUUCUGUUCCUAGUUUCUUUAUAGUCCUGAUCUGUUCUUUG